ensembl:lncRNA
GAUGAACUGUAACAAUUUCUUAUAUUUUUGUCAUGUUUUGGUUCAAUGGAUAUGGGAGAACACAGGGAGGAGGUAUUUUCCAUGCCGAGGGGAGAACACAGGGAGGAGGUAUUUUCCAUGCCGAGGGGAGAACACAGGGAGGAGGUAUUUUCCAUGCCGAGGGGAGAACACAGGGAGGAGGUAUUUUCCAUGCCGAGGGGAGAACACAGGGAGGAGGUAUUUUCCAUGCCGAGGGGAGAACACAGGGAGGAGGAUAAUAUUAUUAUUUUUUGGACUCCAGUCCAGAUGUGCACAUAUCUUACAGUAGAGACAGUCGCCAGGCAGAUUAGUGGAUAGUGUAUGUGUAUAAUUAUUACCCUGGGUUGGGCAGGCCUA